GAACUUACCUCGCUGGGGGGCUCUUGUGAUCAAGAAGGCGGGACCCCCAUGGUGAGGCCCUCACAUUGCACUUUGUUUUUGAGGGCUCAGUGGCUCAGUGGUGGAGGUGCCGCAGUGACACGCCGGCCCGGAUCAGUUCGCGGCCGCC
rnacentral:snRNA from 14 species